UAGGUCGUUACGAUACCCACUUCUACAGUAGAUGCUUGUCCCCAGGGAUCGAAAUUAGGAAAUUGUGAUUUCAGAACCGAAAAGUCUUCCUAGGAUACACUCGGAUUUGUCCAUCAGCAUUCACUUCCGAAGGAUCCUUGGAGGGACCAUAAUACCUUGCUGAGAGUUUAAGGUUCUUUCUCAGAGCAACUGAAGUCUGUCUAUAAGGUUGCAAUUUAAG